AUGCUCCCUUUGACAACACAUAUAUUAAAAUUGGAACAAUGCAGAGAUUAACAUGGUCCCUGAACAAGGAUGCCAUGCAAAUUCAUGAAGCAUUCCAUAGUUAC